GCGCAGCAGUCGAGAAACUUUACAAUGUGCGAAAGCACGAUAAGGGAACUCUGAGUGCCUCCUAAGGAGGCUGUUCAGGUGUCUAAAAGCACCUGAAGGAAGGGCUGGGUAAGACCGGUGCCAGCCGCCGCGGUAACACCGGCAGCCCAAGUGGUAGCCACGUUUAUUGGGUCUAAAGCGUCCGUAGCCGGCUGGGUAAGUUCCUUGGGAAAUUUGGCUGCUUAACAGUCAAGCUUUCAGGGAAUACUGCCCGGCUUGGGACCGGGAGAGGUCAGAGGUACUCCAGGGGUAGGGGUGAAAUCCAUUAAUCCUUGGGGGACCACCGGUAGCGAAGGCGUCUGACCAGACCGGGUCCGACGGUGAGGGACGAAGGCUA
rnacentral:rRNA from 1 species